GGACUCGUGCAACCGCCAAAACGGCCUGUCACUGUAAGGCACAAACAUGAUCACGCAAGAUGCGAUAGUAGAUUUAAGCCAGUUGUUUUUAAGUUUGUGUUUAAGGAGAAACUAACAAUGAAAACGGCCUCGUUGACGGAGGAAAAGUUGGAAUGCAGCCUCUGGUGCUGUUUGAGCGAUCCCUCUCCCCGGGGCCUGGCCGCGCGCUGCUGUGUUCUGGAAGGGCUCAUUGUACAGUCAAGGCGGCAGGCUGGAGUGCAGUGGCACGAUCUGGUCUCACUGCAACCUCCGCCACCCAGGUUCAAGCGAUUCUCCUGCCUCAGCCUCCCGAGUAGCUGGGAUUACAGGCACCUGCCACCCCACCUGGCUAAGUUUUGUGGUUUUAGUAGAGACGGGGUUCACCAUCUUGGCCAGGCUGGUUUUGAACUCCUGACCUCGUGAUCCACCUGCCUCGGCCUCCUAAAAUCCUGGGAUUACAGGUGUGAGCCACUGUGCCUGGCUGAACUUUCAAGAAGAAGUUUGUGUAUCAAUUUUCAAAAAACUAUCAUAUCAAAAGAGAGCUGUGUCCUACAUUUGGAAAGAUACAAAAACUGAACCUUCUGGCAGGCAGUUUUGCUUGCUGGAGCUUGAGAUAGAGCCACACAUUGGCCUCAGUGGAUUUAUGGAGAAAAAUAGAUACAGAAAGUUAUUUAUAAAUAAGACCAAAAAAUCCUUUUCUUGAGCAGUGACAGGUAAAGAGGUUGUCUUGGUUAACCUUGAAAUGUGUUGCCCUUGAUCAAGACAGUUUUAUGGUGGGGAUGGUAGUGGAGAUAAACUUGUUUGACAUUUGUCCACUUAUGGUAACCUUUGUGGUGGCUGUCACAGACAACUUCAUCCUCACAGACCUUAAAAUUACUGUAAAACUAAUAGAAUGGAGGAGAAACAAGGGACCUGAAUAAUUAGAUGCUUAGAUAAUUGUAAUGUGUUUUCAUAACUGGUGAAAAACAGCAGUGUUAGAAGCACUUAAACAUUCUAUGUAAGGAACACUGCCUGAAUUUAUAUUGUGAUUUUUGAGCACCAUUCACUGUUUAAAAACUGGCAUAUUGUAGGUCAUAUUUUAAAGACAAAUAGAAAACUUAUCUUUUCAAGAUUGAUAUAAAGCUUAACCUUAUCAAAAUUACAAAAUUUAAAAAAUAUGAUUGAAAAAUAUUAAUGCAUAGGUUUAAAUAUUGGUCAUCAUUUUAGAUGUCUUUCAAAAUAGAUUGUCUUUUAAAUAUUAAACUGAACAAACUU
ensembl:lncRNA novel transcript